rnacentral:rRNA from 1 species
CCGCAAGGAAUUAGUAGAGUGGCAAACGGGUGAGUAACACGUGGGUGACCUGCCUUCGAGUGGGGGAUAACGUCCCGAAAGGGACGCUAAUACCGCAUAACAUCCCGCCUUUUAAGAGGUGGAAAUCAAAGCCGGGGAUCGCAAGACCUGGCGCUUGAAGAGGGGCCCGCGUCCGAUUAGCUAGUUGGUGGGGUAACGGCUCACCAAGGCGACGAUCGGUAGCCGGCCUAAGAGGGCGGACGGCCACACUGGGACUGAGACACGGCCCAGACUCCUACGGGAGGCAGCAGUGGGGAAUUGUUCGCAAUGGGCGCAAGCCUGACGACGCAACGCCGCGUGGAGGAUGAAGACCUUCGGGUCGUAAACUCCUUUCGAUCGAGACGAAUGGCCCCUGGGUUAACAGCCUGGGGGAGUGACGGUACCGAGAGAAGAAGCCCCGGCUAACUCCGUGCCAGCAGCCGCGGUAAUACGGGGGGGGCAAGCGUUGUUCGGAAUUACUGGGCGUAAAGGGCUCGUAAGCGGCCAACUAAGUCAGACGUGAAAUCCCUCGGCUUAACCGGGGAACUGCGUCUGAUACUGGAUGGCUUGAAUCCGGGAGAGGGAUGCGGAAUUCCAGGUGUAGCGGUGAAAUGCGUAGAUAUCUGGAGGAACACCGGUGGCGAAGGCGGCAUCCUGGACCGGCAUUGACGCUGAGGAGCGAAAGCCAGGGGAGCAAACGGGAUUAGAUACCCCGGUAGUCCUGGCCCUAAACG